AAGUCGUAACAAGGUUUCCGUAGGUGAACCUGCGGAAGGAUCAUUACCGUGCCGGGGGCCCUUCGGGGUCCCAUUGUGCCACCCGUGUUUACUUGUACCUGUUGCUUCGGCGGGCCUGCGGGCCUCGCUCGCUGCCGGGGGACCCAGUCCCCGGGCGCGUGCCCGCCGGAGACACCCCAAACUUCUCUAACGGAUACGUCUGAGCAAAUGAUCUAAUCAUUAAAACUUUCAACAACGGAUCUCUUGGUUCCCACAUCGAUGAAGAACGCAGCGAAAUGCGAUAAGUAAUGUGAAUUGCAGAAUUCCGUGAAUCAUCGAAUCUUUGAACGCACAUUGCGCCCCCUGGUAUUCCGGGGGGCAUGCCUGUCCGAGCGUCAUUGCAACCCUCAAGCGCGGCUUGCGUGUUGGGCGCCGUCCCUGGUGGACGCGCCCGAAAGGCAGUGGCGGUACCGUGCUCCGGUGCCCGAGCGUAUGGGCUUCAAACCCGCUCUGGUGGCCCGGCCGGCGCUGGCCUCGACCCUCAACUUUACCAGGUUGACCUCGGAUCAGGUAGGGAUACCCGCUGAACUUAA
rnacentral:rRNA from 1 species